CAACAUCCAUGUGUCCAAUCUUCUGACUGGUACUGUACAUCAUUUUUGUUGGUCAUUUUUUUUCUUGUGGGAAGUCUGGUUUCUCUUUGCAUCCUGAUAGCCAGGUGUGUAGUGUCAGGUGUGUGAUGUCAGGUGUGUAGUGUCAGGUGUGUAGUGUCAGGUGUGUAGUGUCAGGUGUGUGAUGUCAGGUGUGUAGUGUCAGGUGUGUGAUGCCAGGUGUGUAAUGUUACUACUGUAUGUUAAGCUACUACGGUAUGCUACACUCCUACUGCAUGCUACAUUACUACUGUAUGCUACACUACUACUG
ensembl:lncRNA